rfam:Musca domestica strain aabys unplaced genomic scaffold Scaffold18589, whole genome shotgun sequence.
ACCAUCUACAGACCCGUUGGCUUCUGGGGCAAAAUCGUUGGUUCGCUAUGUGUGAUAGCUGGUGUGCUGACAAUCGCUCUGCCCGUACCCGUUAUUGUGAGUAAU